rnacentral:rRNA from 1 species
GAAUAUUGGACAAUGGGGGCAACCCUGAUCCAGCCAUGCCGCGUGUGUGAAGAAGGCCUCUUUGUUGUAAAGCACUUUAAGCAGUGAAGAAGACUCCCUGGUUAAUACCCAUGGACGAUGACAUUAGCUGCUGAACAAGCACCGGCUAUCCCUGUGCCUGCAGCCGCGGUAUUACAGAGGGUGGAAGCGUUAAUCGGAAUUACUGGGCGUAAAGCGAGCGUAGGGGGCUUGAUAAGUCAAAUGUGAAAUCCCCGGGCUUAACCUGGGAAAUGCAUCUGAUACUGUUAGGCUAGAAUAGGUGAGAGGAAGGUAGAAUUCCAGGUGUAGCGGUGAAAUGCGUAGAGAUCUGGAGGAAAACCGAUGGCGAAGGCAGCCUUCUGGCAUCAUAUUGACACUGAGGUUCGAAAGCGUGGGUAGCAAAC